rnacentral:lncRNA from 1 species
GUUUUUUUUUCUGUGUACAUGUUCAUGUUAAUGUCCAAGGCAUGCAUGACAAUUUUCAAGCGAAAUGGAACAGUACUAUUUCAUCAAUGAAAAAACAAAGUUAAUUAGCAGAGAAAAUUUGUUGUCCAACUUGCCUUUUUGCAUAGAUCAAAAUGCUCGGCCAUGGCAUCUAAACAUUUGCAGAUAACAUUUAGACAUGAAUAUGUGCAUGUCUAAGUUUUUACACAUUUUUUUGACUUUUAGAAAGCUAUUUUUGAUGGGUAUUUGGAGAGCCAAAUGCUCCCGAGAGCCAAAUUGAGUAUUUGGAGAAACCCCCCCAUAAAAGGCGGUGGUGAAAGAAAUGAGCUUACCGGGCGAUUUCGUUCCGGGCAGGUGGCUGGCAGCACUGUAUGAAUAUGAAAUUUAGUUCUUCAAAUUUGGAUAAUCCACAUUAAUCUCGCUCUCUCUAUUAUAAUUGAAUGCCCAAACUUAUUGCUCUUGUAUGUAUAUUGGCUGAACUGACCUUUGCGAAAAUGUUCAGGAGUUGAGAUGCCCAGUCACCAUUACCAACGGCGCGGAUAUGCACGUUUAGAUUGCCAUCUCCAGGUGCAGAGGUGAUGGGGAAGGGAUGCCUGCAAGAUCAUCAACUGUAAGCAAGAAGCCCAGGUAAAAUUAUACAAGUAUCCUGAUAGUAUAAGUUAGUAUAAGUGGGUAAGGGGUAAAGUGGCAGUAGUACCAUUCAGAAGUGGAGACUUCAUUACAUUUGAUAAACAGGUGCAUCCCACUUGUACUUGAAACCCCGUGGCUUAUGCAUGCCAAGACAAAGCACAUUUCCUGGAUAGAUUGCAAUCUGUAUAUAUAGGAGUAAGAAAGAGGCAAACCAUGGUGUUCAUGCAUAUUACUUUUUUUGACAAAGGACGUUUUUUAUUGACUCAUGAUGUAGCAUCGAAGGAUACAAUCAUAAUGAGCAUACACCUGGCCUCUGCAUAACUAGGAUGCACACAACCAACACACAUGAUUACACCGGCAAAAAGCAAAGUCAUACAAGAUCAAAGCUAUGCCUAGGCGAAGGGAAAAAUAAAAAGGGAAAACACGGAUCGAGUGGCCUCCCGAGUCGCCCACGCGGACGACACGGGGGCAGUUUCCUUCCAAGUGCUCCAUCCAUGCAUGUUACUAGUAAGAAUGAAAUAAACUAGAGCCAUGUGAAUCGAGUAGACACCUAACCUUUUGAAAUUUCAUCUGCUCAUUGUUCCAGCGAACCUUUCUGAUAAUUCCCUGGCAGGCAGACAAGAGGACAGGGACUAUCAGGUGCAUCCAGUUCCCGCAGGCCGUCAUCGACCGGACCAGCCGUGACCUCCUCUCCAACUGCACCUCGUCCUCCGGCGCCCGCGCGCUCACCGCCCCACGCAACAGCGUCUCCAGCUGCGACAUCUGCAAUGGAGCAAGCACGUACGCGCAAACCUUGAGCUAAUCUAUGUAUGCAUCGCUUCAUGUCGUUGAUUAGAUGGAAUGGAAAUGCUUGCUAGUUACUACAAGCCUAUGACCUCGAUGUAGCCACGGUGGUCGGGGUCGAGCUCUUCCAUGACCAGUGGCGCGUAGGCGGCGGCGUCGAUCUUCAGCUUGUUCGCCGACGCGCUCAAUAUAAUAGCCUACAUUAAUAUAUAUACUAAGUAGGUAGCAGGGUUAAAUUAAACGAUCCAUGGUGGACUAACUAACGGCCAUGCUUCUGCAUCGAGUUAUUCAACUGUUAGGAGCGGACUACUUUGCAGGAAUUAUUCAACUGUUACUAGUAUCAGUGGAUACUUUGGUGAUCUAAAAACCUUUAUAUUUUUUUUACAGAGGGAGUACUUUACUUUUUUUGAGUAACUACAGAGGGAGUACUUGAUUUCAGUGUUCCUGACCAGGGAACGUUUGGGAUAACAGGCACUAUUUCGAGGUAAUUCUUGUGGGCCAAAUACUGGGUCUGGGUUAGUUAAGCCAUCUCUCUGGGCAGACUAAUAGGCACAGGUCGUGAGAACAAGCAAACAGCAGCAGUCGCAUGCAAAUUAAGCAUAAAAACGGUGGAUUCGAUUCCAGUAACCUACGAUCCCCAUACUUGCUGCCACUUUGUCCGAAUAAUUCUUGCAAAGUUCUUGCUAAGAACCACCUGCUAUGCUGCCUACAGAUUUGCCUCUCAUUGCCAAACAUAACAUGAUUAGCACAGCAGCUUGGCACUCACCGAUGCACUUGCCGAAGCUCUCCUUUGGGAUGCGCCCGGCCUUGUUCAUCUCGUCGAAGCGGCGCUCCACAUCCUUCCAGCCUUCCCUGCCUUCCGAGCUACCGUCGACAAAGUGAGACCCCAUUUUCACGGUAACUACACUGCAUCUGCCUCCACUCCCUGUUGGGAUAUACUCCUACUUCUCAUGUGGGCCAUGAGUUGCUGAAAUUUAAACUCUUUUAGGCCGCCAAAGCAUGUGCAAGAGCUCACUGUUUAGCAGGGCUAUUAGUUUAUUAUCUAGGAGCGCUCUGAACUUUACACAUGAGAAAUGAGAUGUUUAAACCUCCCAUCCAGUGGAAGUAGUCGCCGAGAGGCGAUAGGUGCGAGGAAAAUACCAGGUUAGCUUCCACUGUAGAAAAGAAAAACCGAAAAGAAAAGAAAGGGGAGAAGAUUGGACCUAUCCAUCUCAUCGUAUCUUUUCAGUUGUGGUUGCACCAUCUUUGAAUCUUUGAUGAGAUUGCUCUCAUCUUAGCUUCUACGGAAGUGUUGCUUUUGCAAUGGAGAGCAAGCCAUUCAACAUUGGUUCAUCUCUUGCCCGUUAGCACCACUGGUGUGGUGGGUGGUUUUUAUAGCCUUCAACUGGCCACUCCAAAUAGUCAAAUCAGGGUGGGAGCAUGUGCUAUAUGAAAAGAUCGUAAUGAUAUUAUUUUUAACAAAUAACAAAGGGUUUCCGAUUCUUUUGCACGUUACCCACUGACUACUGUUCACACACGAACACGUCACCGUGUACCCUCGACGCCGGGGGUGAUGCACCAGAACUCACGUCGAAGGAGACCCACCGGAAGCGCGGUACGCAAGCAAUCCGGCGGGUGCUUUUGAGGACCCGAAACCCCACACGCCCGGGAGGGACCCCGUCAGGGUGCGCGGCGGCUAUGGGCUGCCCUAGGUCGACCUGAUUGCCCCUAGGGCCUCGUGGAUCGCCGCCCUGCAACUAGAAGAACAGACGAAGAAUGAGAAAGAAGAAGAACAAGGAAGAGAGAUAAAGGUAAAGGUAAAAAGUGAUAUGUUGAUAGAUCGAUUGUGUGUUGUUCAAUCGGGCGCCCCUUAUAUAUAUAUAUGAGGCGGCUGGAUUUUCCGUACAAAAAAAGGUCUCAAAUCCCGUCCAAAACAUCAAAAGUUAACCUAAUUCAGAAUACGAGGGCCGGAACUUCCGGGCUAAAACUACAUUAAGUAGCGCUCUUGUACAGCUCCUGUAGGUCGCACAUGGCCUCAGAUUGUGAUGGUCCAAAAAGCAAAGUUGUAGAUCUUGCAAUGGAUCACUUUUUCAUCCGAGGUCAUCUUGAGAUUGAAUUCUGGCCCACAAAUCUGCAAAUAAUGUUGAAAUUCUAGCUUUCGGGGCGAACCGUGUGUGAACUUUCUGUUUAGCCCGGAACAUCCCCGAAAGUUUUGCCCGGAACUUCCGGGCUAAAAUUUUGCAGCACACUGUUUUGGCUCUAACUUUUGCAUACGAACUCCGAUUUAGACUUUUUUAUAUUAAAAUCGAUCGUUUCGACGAGGCGAAGACAAUCCUUGUAGAAACUAUUCUCAUAUAAGGCCAUUUUGGGGGUCUAAUCAGCCGAAUAGUGUUUUGAAUGCAAAAUCCGAGUACUUCAAACACAACUUCGCCUUAGAGAUGAGACCACAUGGCUAUGGCCCAAAUAUCAAAGUUUCUCCUUUUGACGAUAUGGAACUUUCUCACUUUGAAUACUUCUCCAUAUGAGGCCAUCUUAAUUAAGUUCUUGGUCGUGCCAAAAUCUGAUGUCAACAACUACGUUUUAGAUUUGUACAUGAUUCUCGUUUCAACGUGUAGAUGUGCAAGAUUCUCAAGUACUCCCUCCGCAAAGAAAUGUAAGAGCGUUUAGAUUACUAGGUGCAACCACUUAAAGACAAGUAUAGCGACCACUAUGUUCCGCCUAUUUGGAUGGUAGUCUAGCCGAUUUGUUUCCGCACUUUCCACCCUAUUGUAAGACCUUAUACUUCACAAUAAGAGAUGAUCGUGUGCAUAACUUGACAUGGGUUAAUUAUCCUCUUAAAAAAUGACUUCUUGUUGGUGCUAUCCAAGAGCAUCUCUAGCUGAAUCUUCAAAAUUUAACUCCUCAAUCACCUUCUCAAACCCUAGAGCAUCUCCAACUGCUCCCUUUUAGGUCUUUGUAUGGGAUCCUAUCCUUUAACUCCUUAUAUUUGCUUUUCUAAAGAAGUGUGGUUCCUGACCGACCCCCUAACCUUAACUCCCUAUAUUUUUUUAACACAAAUUUAUUUAUUUUUGGGCCAUCUAGUUAAACUUCACUACCAAAUUAUUUCACUAAACGACUUCUUGGCCACAUACUUCACCAGUUCUUCUCUAAAGAACUGAUCCAAAAUAAACUACUCCCUCUGAUUCAUAUUACUUGUCUUAGAUUUGCCUAGAUAUAGAUGUAUCUAACACUAACACGUGUCUACAUACAUCUAUAUCUAGACAAAUCAAAGACAAGUAAUAUGGAUCGGAGGGAGUAUAAAAUAAUUACACACUUUAAUAGAAACACCACUUUCUUAACUACUACUACUAGUUCGAUCAAAAGUUUCUUAAUCUCUUCAUUGCCUAAAUUGUUGCUUUACUGUUGGAUUCUUAAGCUUGCACACUUCUUUCUUCUCUGCCACCUCAUACCUGGACAUUGUGUCUUAUGUGGUCCCAUCUUUAGCAACCAGUGCACCAACAUCUAUCAUAUUUAUCUCUAUCAAUAGAUUAAUGUACUCUUUUUCCCAAUACUACAACUUGCAUCCUUCCUACAUACAACUUUAAGCAAAAAAUGAGUUUCAAAUAGUGACAAAACCAAAUAAUCGAACAACCAUACAAAUUUACACUCACUCCGUCCUUUUCACAGUUGUAGAAAAUUCAUCCAAGAUGUUUGGGUGUGCUCAAGACGAGCCGCACCACCAGCCGUCUACAAUCAUCACACUUGACGAUCAGUUGAGGCUUAGUGAUGAGUUGCCGGACGAGGGCUGAGCCGGGACGAUGGACGGACAUGGCUAUGUUGGCGGUCAUUCAAAAAGUGAGAGGCAAGCAUCGAGGGGAGGACAUACCACGGGGAGCGGUCGAGGUGGGAAGGGAAAUUUUAGGCGUCGGGGCCUUGGUGCAUCGAAUCCGGUGACAUUUUUAGGCGCCAACGACGUGAAGGGACCGAAUAGAAGUGGGGAAGGAGCGCGAUUAGUGCUACUGGGCCUCGGCGAUGGCCAGUGGCGCAUGGUGGCUGGCGGAGGCAAGUAGGGCGGCGCCUUAGUGGAUGCGGCACCGAGUGGGGAGGGUGCGGCCGAGAGGGUGUACUCUGGCGGUGGUGGUUGGCUAUAUUUAAGAGUCAGGGCUGUCGUGCAGUAAAAGAUUACUCCUCUAAAGGUUAUAAGGGGUCGGCCAAGUGCGAUUUGGGGGAGGAAACCAGUUUUUUUCUCCUCUAAAUCUUUAUAGGGGGUCGGUUAGAGAUUCCCUAAACUCCUCAAAUUGAGGAGUUUAGAAAAACACAAACCUAACCGAAGUCUCAAAGUUAACUCAAACAAAUUAGACCCCACAUGGAAGCCUCUUUCUCUCUUCUUCUUCCUUCUUCUUUCUUUCACGCCACCAACGAUGACCUUUCGGCACUAGAUGAGUUCCAUGAGCUAGCUAGCAUCUAUGAUAGGUGCUCCGCAAAAAAAAUUGAUAGAGGCUCANNNNNNNNNNNNNNNNNNNNNNNNNNNNNNNNNNNNNNNNNNNNNNNNNNNNNNNNNNNNNNNNNNNNNNNNNNNNNNNNNNNNNNNNNNNNNNNNNNNNNNNNNNNNNNNNNNNNNNNNNNNNNNNNNNNNNNNNNNNNNNNNNNNNNNNNNNNNNNNNNNNNNNNNNNNNNNNNNNNNNNNNNNNNNNNNNNNNNNNNNNNNNNNNNNNNNNNNNNNNNNNNNNNNNNNNNNNNNNNNNNNNNNNNNNNNNNNNNNNNNNNNNNNNNNNNNNNNNNNNNNNNNNNNNNNNNNNNNNNNNNNNNNNNNNNNNNNNNNNNNNNUGAUUAUGAGACUACAAAUUUGAAGCUUAAGUUGCAAUUUUAGGGCAAUGCAGAUAAAGUAGUAAGUUCUCUAGAUAUGCAACUAUGUGAGAACAACAUAUAUGGCAAGGAAGCUCAAAACAAGGUAUGAUGGGUAAUAAUAUAAUUAGCAAACCAACAAACAUACAAAGCAAGUAUGUACAAAAAAGCAUCCGUUCAGCAUACAAAUAUACAAAACAAGUACGGUGCGAGAACGGAUUAACCACUGAGAUUAGAUAACAGAACAACAACCAAAAAGCAUAUGUUCAACAAAAAGCAAAAUAAGAGCAUCUCCAACAGGCAUGCUAAAAAACCGUUUACAGUGCUGGAAUCGUGAGUUUUUGCGCACCGCGGAGCGCUGGCUCCAGUGGCCGCUGUAACAUAUAGCACGCGCGAGCUGCUCCAGCAAGCGCUGCAAAAAACGGCGCGUGCGCUCAUCACAAACAACAUAUGCACUCCAAACAAAACCAAGAAGAUCAAACAAAAAAAAAUCAACAAUAAAUAGUUCAAUUUUAUUACAACUCAAACAAAUAGUUUAUCUUCCAAUACAACAAAUAGUUCAACAAUACAACAUCAACAUACAACAUCAAACAUACAAAUCAUCAUGCUUUUUGUCGGCUAUUACAUGCCCAUCACUCCUCGAUGAGAUCCUUUUGAAGAUCAUCAUGCGCUUCGACACGUCAAAUGGCAUGAUAGGAGGCAACAAAUCGGGCCACUCACGCAGCCCUCCGCCGCACUCGCACGGGAUGUCCCAAGAGCUCAUACUGAGAGUAGUCUAAAUCUUGGCCACGCUCAUUCUUGAUGAUCAUGUUGUGCAUGAUCAUACAAGCGUGCAUGAUGUACGAAAGCAUCUUUUGAUCUCAAAAGCUAGCCGGUCCUCUCACAAUGGAAAAUUGGGCUUGCAAAAUCCCAAAAGCUCUUUCCACGCUUGCAAAAUCCCAAAAGCUCUCUCCACAUAUUUCCUAGCCGCCGCCUGAGCAUUGUGGAAAUCUAGAUUUUUCUUACCUUCCGGUUUUUUCAUCGGCUUCACAAAUAUUUACCACUUUGGGUAGAUGUCAUCCACAAGAUAGUAGCCAUAGUUGUAUGUAUGUAUGUCCAUUUGCUACAAACUGCACCGGUGACAUUUCACCAUUUGCAAUCUUAUUCAUGAGUGGUGACCGAUUAACAACGUUAAUGUCAUUCAAAGAUCCAAGCAUUUCAAAAAAGCAUGCCAAAUCCAAAUCUCUUGAUCGGCCACCGCUUCAAGGAUUAUAGUUGAACCCUUUUUUUGGCCGUGGAAUUUCCCAUGCCAUGCCUUAGGACAGUUCUUCCAACUCCAAUGCAUGCAAUAUAUUGAGCCAAACAUACCUGGGAACCGCAAGCUUUGUUCAUCUCCAAAAGCCCUGCAACGUCUUCAGCAUUGGGAGAUCUCAAAUACUCCGGGCCAAACACUUGCACAAUUCCGACUGCGAAGCGCUUGACACACAUGAUGGCUUGACUCUCACCCAUGGCCAGGUGGUCAUCAACUAGAUCAGUCGGAAUACCGUAUGUCAACAUACGCAAAGCGGCUGUCACCUUCUGAAAGGUGCUAUGCCCGAGUUCUCUGGCGGCAUUCCUCCUUUGCUGAAAAAACCAAUCAUGGCUCGCCAGUUUCUCUACAAUGUGCCUGAACAACUCGGUGCUCAUCCUAAACUGGCGCCGGAAGUACGACUCGGGGUAUGUGUGAUUCUCCACAAAAUAGUGCCUCAUCAAUCUGUUGUCGGCAUUGAUCUUGUCCCUCCAAAUUUUCCGCCAAACCACCGUGCUUCGGUUUUUUUAUUGAUGUGCAUAGUUAUAGGAUCAUUGCAAGGUCCUCCUCGUCAUCUUCAAUAUCAAAUUAGUCUUCGGAAGAAUCAUAUGACGAACUCAUCUAUAAUGUUGAAUUUUAACUAGUCUAUAAAAAUUACAAACAACAUGCACCAAAUUCAUGUAAACAAAUGUGAAGUUGAAGCAAUACAUACCUUGCAAGCGUUUUGUGGAACACCUUGUGGGCGCCGAGUGGCAGUGGGCGGCCUGGCGCUGUUCGUCGGAGGAAUGGUGCACGCGAGGGGCGGCGGCGACUAAAGGGAGACGGAGGAAGCAGCGGCGGUGCGGAGAUAGGCCCGGGAAGCGCCGUCAGGUCACCGGAGCAAAUGGGAUGGUGCGGCCGGAGGCGCCAGUGCCUGGAUUGGGGGUAGGUGGAAGUCAUGGCAUGGGCGCUCGACUGUGCAGCGCGUGGGAGCGGGCGCACGAAAUAAGUGGCACGCGAUGCCGUUUCAUCCCACGCGCUGAACCACUUAUGCCACGCACGCGUUUUUUUGCGCCUCCGCUGGAGCGCCCGGAGCGACUGUGCGCGUGCAAAAAAACAGAAUUUUUCCAGCGCGGCGCUUAUAUCGCGCAGCUGUUGGAGAUGCUCUAACAAGGUUCCCUUUGCCGCCUACUGCUAGCUGGCGAAACACUGACUUGAGAGUAGAUACAACCUUUUAAUUAAACUGAAGGUGAGAAAUCGAUGCCACAUAUCUCACUAUGAUUCUGCAUUCUGCGUGCGUUUAUUGCUGUGAGGAAGAAAGACAGGAGAGAGGCUGAACUCAUGUAUAUUCAUCCAUCGGGAGUGUACAUAUAUACAGGUACAUGCACACAGCAGGUGCGGCCACUACUCCAACGAACCACGUAAUAAACUCCACUAAGCUAGUACAUGCACCAAGACUAGGUAGAUUAGUUACAGGGAGAGGCUACGUGAUAGAGAAUCACGUAGGGGCACCCUGCGUGAUAGGAGGUUUCCAACAAUUGCCGCCAGCCGGAGCCGGGGACAUGGCAGCUGGUAGAGCUUUUAUCACCGCAGGGGUGUCGAUCAAUCAGUUUGUUGUUGAGUUGGUUAUGGUAUGCAUGAACCCGACGUAGUAAGACUAGUCACAGUGGGAGUAACUUUAGCAGUAACAUCGAGUCCGACUCAGCAAAUUUGCUUAUGUGGCAAUGAGUUAAUGAGGAAAGAGGUAGUUGUAGUAACUUAGCUAGUUACUGUAACAUCACAUGUCCCAAUGCAAUAUGAGUCCAUAACCUAAUAAAUGAAUCUUUGCAUGUUACCACAGUUAAGUUACUACCCACUAUGAAAAUAGUAACAUAGUCUAGGGAUAUGUGUAUGUUACUCUCCAUUGUGGCUAGUCUAAUAACUUGAUCAUGUGGCAAUAAAUCGCACGUCGCUGAUGGACGAGCUGGCCUCUCGCCUUCUUUCUAUCCCUCUCCUCUCAGCUCCUACGUCGACUUAACGUGUGUCUGCGGUCCGAACUAAACUGCUCACGUCAUGAUCCGGAGCCUCUCGGAAGACUCGAUCGGUAAACGAAACGUGUGCGCUGCUAGUAGCAUUAAUUAACAAAGUGCUGCUUGCCGGCUCAAUGGAAUGCAUGGGAGAAGGCCGACACGAAAGAAGGGAGAAAAUUUCAGGCGCGCGUGGGUCGUCGGAGAGGAAGAACGGAAGAAGGAGCUUCGGGAGGUUGGCAUGGUCAGGGUGAGAUGAGACUGACGAGAACACGGAACCAUUCAUGCAAUGCAAUCCCGUGUUACCGUCGCAUAUGCUCUGGUUGCUUUGACGUCUCAACGGUCCAGGCUCGGUUUAUCUCGAGUCAGGAUGCGAAAGAGGCAGCUGAUUUCAACAGGGCCGUAAAGGCUGAGGUACACGGCUGGCUGGGGAGGGUCAGCUUGAGCUGAUCGUCGAGGAAAAACAGGACGACCAAGAACCAGCCGACGCUGCAAUCGAGUUGAAGUUCACGUUCACGUACGUGUGGUCGUACCAACUCGGAUGUAUCUGAUGCGUGUAAGAAUAUACACAGUCGCUUGUGUUGUUUGUAUUGACAUGGCAAUGGCUCUCGCACCUUUUCUUUUUUCUUUGCACCUGAAAUGAAUCAAAGUCACCUGAAAAAAAAUGAAACAAAGAAAAAGGAUUCUGCCUUUGGUGCCAGGGACAUGGCAGCUAGAGCUUUAUCACAUGAGUGUCAAUCAGGUUUGUUGAGUCGGUUAUGAAUAUCAUGGCAAAUAAUAAAAAAGAAAAGGUUUGUUGUGUGUUGUGCAUUAAUAAUUGAGACUAACUUCUUCAUGCAGCAACUACGGGAAAUUAAUGCACACCAUGGCUAUCAACGACUGCUUCAAGAUUGUAUAUUAGAUGUGUCAGACCCUAUAAUUAGGCCUUGCCGAUGUAUCCCAUUGGGAAAACAAAAUUUGAUGUCUGUACCAAUCAAAGUAGAACACAAAAUUAACCCUUCCUACAUGAUUACUCCCUCUUGGUCUUGGACCCCUCCCACGGGUGCCGUCGACCCUAAAAAAGGCGCUAAGCGUCACCGUUGUCAAGUCUGAAAUGGACACGGGUUACUUGGAAACUAGUUAAGCACGUUUUCUCAAACUUAAUUAGCACUUCACUUUUUCGUACUGAUCCUCUCAGACAGAGAUUCUAAUAAAGUCAACCAAGAUCAGCUUAUGUUCAUUAAUACCCUAUGAGCCAGCAUGUGUACCAAAAACUCGAUUCAGACUAAGAACAAACUAUUAGCUGCAACAGUUUCAGCUUUUUUUUUUGAAAAGGGGGGUUUCCCUGGCCUCCGCAUCAGAAAGAUGCAUACGGCCAUCUUAUUAACCAAAUGAAGUAGUGCCAACAUGGUUCCAAAGGUCUUCAAAAGUAAUAAAAAAGCACAGAAAGCUCACACAGAGCCAAUAAGGGCUAGAAACACCAACUAGCCAAGAAAAGACGCCACAACCGGCUGGCUAAAACUAGAUAGGGAAACUAAUUGCCUAUCCUAUUACAUGACCGCCAUCCAAACCGGUUGAAGAUAUCCCGAGCUACCAUCUCCCAGCGGAAAGACCCAGUAACCAAAUGCUCCCUGGCCUCCGUCUGGGUGAGUAGCGACCACGGACGGAUCAGAGCCGUAGUUCGGAAUAUGACCUGCAAAAAAUGUAUACAUGAUAUUCUGUUAAAAACUAAAUCAUUUCUGCAAGUCCAGAUAGUCCACAGCAAAGCACAAACUCCAACCCGAAUAUGUCUCGCUAAGUCAGGCUCAAUCCCAUUAAGCCAUGUCCCAAAUAACGCAUUAACAGAAUUCGGUGGAUUGAUAUUAAAAGCAAUGUGGACCGUCUGCCAAAGUACCUUGGCCAACGGGCAAUCAAAAAAGAGGUGUUUGAUAGUCUCAUCCCGAUCGCAGAAACUACACCUAGUAGGUCCUGUCCAAUUACGCUUUAUCAAGUUGUCCUUAGUUAAAAUAACUUGUUUAUGGACAAACCACAUAAAUACUUUUAUUUUCAAAGGAACUUUGACAUCCGAAACAUGCUUGGACGUAGGAAUGUAGUUCGAAUUAAUAACAUCAAUAUACAUUGAUUUAACCGUGAAUACUUCAGACUUAGUCAAUUUCCAGCGUAAUUCAUCGGGUUGUUGUGAAAGCUGAACCUUCAUCAGUCUCCUAACUAGACGGAGCCAUUCUUUCCAACGAUUGCCCGCUAGCGUUCGACGGAACUGAAUAUUAAGGGGGGUAGAUUGAAAGACGAUGCUACGAACACCUCACGUCGUUGAACAAUGCGGUAUAAAGACGGAUAUUGGAUGGCCAAGGGUGUCUCGCCGAGCCAAGUAUCCUCCCAGAAAUGUGUACUCGUGCCGUUUCCAAUAACAAACUUCGUCCUAUUAAAUAAGGACUGUUUGACUUUCAUCAGGCCUUUCCAGAAAGGUGAAUCGGUCGGCCUGACUGUAAUAUGGGACAAAGUUUUUGUCUGGAGGUACUUGUUGCGAAGGAUUUGAGCCCACAUAACAUCAUUCUCCGAUGAGAGCUUCCACAGCCACUUGCUAAGAAGGCAUUUAUUCUUAACUUCUAGAUUCUCAAUACCUAGACCCCCUUGAUCUUUCGGUCUACAGAUGAUAUCCCAUUUGGCAAGCCGAUAUUUUCUUUUAAGCUCAUCACCCUGCCAAAAGAAACGCGAUCGAUAGAAGUCCAGUCUCUUCCUAACACCAACUGGGACCUCAAAGAACGAUAGGAGAAACAUUGGCAUAUUCGUGAGCACCGAAUUAAUCAGGAUUAAUCGGCCUCCGUAUGACAUGAGCUUACCCUUCCAACAACUCAUUUUCUUCUCAAAUCGGUCCUCGAUGCACUUCCACUCUCUGUUUGUCAGCCUACGAUGGUGGAUUGGAAUCCCCAGGUAAGAGAAGGGUAACUCUCCCAACUCACACCCAAACAAUUUCCUAUAAGCAUCCUGUUCAUCUUUGGCCCUACCAAAACAGAACAGCUCGCUCUUAUGAAAGUUAAUCUUUAACCCGGUCAAUUGUUCAAAUAGGCAUAACACAAGCUUUAUAUUUCUCGCCUUGGCCAAGUCAUGCUCCAUAAAGAUGAUUGUAUCAUCAGCGUACUGAAGGAUGGAUACACCUCCAUCAAUAAGAUGAGGUACCAAUCCACCUACUUGACCAUUUUCCUUAGCCCUUCCCAGCAAAAUUGCUAACAUAUCCACCACAAUAUUAAACAGUAUAGGGGACAUCGGAUCUCCUUGUCUUAGGCCUUUAUGUGUCUGGAAGUAAUGACCUAUGUCAUCAUUAACUUUAAUUCUCACACUACCUUUUUGCGUAAAUGAUUCAACCUGUCGGUGCCAGGCUUCAUCAAAACCUUUCAUACGCAAUGACUGUUGGAGGAAUGGCCAUUUGACCUUAUCGUACGCUUUCUCGAAAUCCACCUUAAAAAUUACUCCAUCUAAUUUUUUGGAAUGGAUUUCAUGGAGUGUUUAAUGCAGGACGACCACCCCUUCAAGGAUAUUUCUGUCCGGCAUGAAAGCAGUUUGGGACUGUUGCACCACAGAAUGCGCAAUCUGUGUGAGCCUGUUAGUCCCGACCUUGGUGAAAUUUUUGAAACUAACAUUGAGGAGACAGAUCGGCCUGAAUUGCUCAAUUCUCACAGCAUCCGUUUUCUUGGGAAGCAGUGUGAUAGUCCCAAAAUUCAAGUGCAAUAAUUGAAGCUGUCCAGAGAACAGAUCAUGGAACAUAGGUAGUAAAUCCCCCUUAAUAAUGUGCCAGCACUUUUUAUAGAACUCUGCCGGGAAUCCAUCCGGUCCGGGAGCCUUAUUAUUUUUCAUCUGUGCAAUAGCAUCAAACACCUCCUUCUUCGAGAACGGGGCAACCAGAAUAUCAUUAUCGUCAGCCGAUAGCUGGGGCACAUCCUCAGUCCUGGACUCAUCGAGGGACACACAAUUAUCUUCCGGAGGUCCAAAUAACUGCUUAUAAUAGUCGGUAAUAUAUGUUUUUAGGUUAUCCUGACCUAAAAUAGUGCCCUCGUCUUGCUCAAGCUGAAAGAUACGCUUCUUUCUGUGCUUGUCAUUAGCUAUCAAAUGGAAGAAUUGAGUAUUCGCGUCCCCUUGGACCACUUUGCGGACUUUAGCAUGCAAAGCCCACUUCAAUUCUUCUUCGCGGAGCAGUUCUUUCAACCUUUUCUCCGCCUCAUUUUUAACCUGAAGCUCAGCUGGCGGUAAAAUAGUGUAUUCGGCCUGUAUGUCCAGGGCCUGUAUAAGAGUAAGGAGUCUAUCCUUUUCAAUCUUAUACACACCACUGAGGUGCUUAGCCCAACCCCGUAAGAAACUUCUCAAAUGCCUACUCUUAUACGGUUUCAGCUAUCUGUGAGCUUAUACGGUUUAUAUAUUCUUCUCAGGCCCUUACGCCUCAUAUGUUUCAUUGGCCAGCUCAACCAAUGAUUUCAGUAGUUCUUUUUUUGAGGUCUUAACUUCAUGAGCUUCGACCAUAUCUUUGUAGACUCUCAAGCAAGAAUGUUUAUUCUUAUGAACGCCAUAUAUAUAUGAAUGAGCGACCAACCUUGACACAUCAUCUUCUGAAACCUGAAAGAAGCAUGAUUUGGAGUGAGUGACAAGUUUGCUGAAAAUGGGAUAGCAUGCAGCUUGGCACACUUCACAAAAUAGUAUGUACAGUUUUACCUCACAGGAGUCGCCAAAUUCAGGCCACCAUAUCAUCUUCAGAGCUGUUGCAAUUUUCAGUAACGUCCAACCCUCGCAGUUGAUGCCAGAGACAUCCUUAAUGAGGUCACCUGCACGGCGCAAGGCUCCAGAAUAUUUCUUCUCAACAGAAUCACAGUGAAACAACGCAGAAGCUGUCGCAGCAAUUUGCUCAUUGACCUGGAUACAAAGAAGAUUGCUUCAUCACUAAAGCAAGGAUGCAGAGCAUAUAAUUUUUUUUCUGUAGAAGUUGCAUCCAAAACUUUGGUCCAUGAAGAUGAAGUGCAACACCAAAUGACAGGGAACUAUGAAGCAAAGAGCAUGGCAACUAGUUAGCUCACCAUAUCUGUUUUGACAUCACAACAAUAACGAUUCAAUACACGUCCUAGACUCAUUGGGAGACGGUCCGCUGCAGCCAGCUGUGAUUUUUCUUGAGGCAGCAAACUUCGCAUGCAAUGCUGUAUGCCCCACAUUACCUCCAUUACAGCUGUAGUAUACAGCCAGUCUAUAUUCUGGAAGAAGAAGAUGAAAAAGUCUAUAAUAGGAAAACUCCAUAGAAGGGAGAUGGGUGGGAGCUCUCGCGACUCGCCUGGCGAGUCGCCUGGCGACUCAUCGGCCGGCGCCGCCGGGCCAAUCCCCUCCGUCCCCGCCGUCCCGCUCCCAGCAGGAGCCACCCUGCAUCCUCCAACCGUCCACCGCUCGUCUGCUCCGCUGCUUGGCCGCCGACCGGGUUCACCUGCGUGCUCCCGGGCUGCUACCCGCCGCGAAGACGUCAUCGCCGCCGUGCCUCGUCCAGGUAUCUCCUUCCAUGCCCGUGUCCUUGCUACCUUCCUCUCGGGCGUCGCCUUCGACCCUGUCACCUUUCCAUCGCUCUCCCAGCCCGGCGCUCUGUGGGUUUCCGCCCCGUUCGCUGCCGGGUGCUUCUCGCGCUCCGGGAUAGCGCGUUUGCUGGAGUACUUCUUCUGCGCCCCCCACGAACGUUUGGUAGCCACGCGCGCUUCGCGCCUUGUCUUCCAUGUCCGCGUCGCGAGCCCCGCCAUUGCCAGGUUCCUCGUCGAGGUUGGGCCGGGACUCAUGGUUGCCAUCAACCUCGGCUUGCAUGCUUCCCUGCAUGCUGCGCGCGGGCGGGUCUCCCACCAGCCCAGCCUUGAUGGCCCCAUUACUCCGUUCCGGAUUGGUGGCCGACGCCUGGCAAUCAAUUGCCCUGUUCCCCCCAUCCCAUCGCUCCCGCCCCUACUCCCCCUACCUCCGACACAGGGUGAGGUUUCGCCCUCUGAUUCGCUGGAAACAAACCCCACACAUGCUGCCGCCCCCCUGCUCCCCAAAACGCGCCAUGCGCGGGCUCGCCCGUCCGCGACAAUGCGUCGGUGGGGAGAGACCGGUCAAGCGUUCAAUGCGCCGAGGUUGACACUCGCGCGGCGCCGGGCCCCGCUGCGCCACCCACCGCCUUCAUGGCUCCCCGGGGAGGGUGCAGCUCGUUCUUGGCUGCCGUUCUCUCCGUGCCCUCACCUCCUCCUCAACCUAACCCUAAAAAGCCCCUCCCUCCCCUCUCGCUGGACGGCUGCUUUCGUUGCCUCUCCACGCGCCACUUUGUGAAGGACUGCAGAGAUCCCGUUCGGUGCCGCCGGUGUCGGUUGUCCGGGCACCGCGCCGCCUCCCCUCGCUGCCCCAUGGCUCCUCCGCGCCGCGCUGCUGCGUCCCCCCUUGCUCGCGCUGCCUCGCUUCCCAACCGCCCGCCCACGCCGCCGCCACCCCCCCACCACGCCGCCAGUCCACCCCGUACCCCCACGCCCGCAUUGCCGCUCUCUCCCCCGUCGGAGGGCUCCCAACCCCGCGCCGUCUCGAGAUCGGCGGCUCUAGCAACCGUGCACCCGCCUCCACUCCCGCAGGGAGUGGCGAUCCGCCCUCCCAGCCAUGCAACCGUGAUGUGUUCCUCUCUGGGGUCAUUCGCUCUCCACCACCCUCUCCUCCGGCCGCCUCCCCUGACAUUGGCCAUCCUGAGCCGGUGUUGGCCCUUGCGACCCCCUCCAUGCAGCAUGCUCACCCUGAGCUGCUUGCGGUUCGGGAGCGGGGCUCGUCGUCCAGUGGAUCACGCCAAUCCUCGCGCUCGCCAUCCUCCCUCUCCUCGGGAAACUCGAUCCCCUCCGCCGUAGCUGACUCCGAGCGUCCUGAUGUGCUCGAGGUGUUUAUGCCGGAGGGAGACUACACCGCGGCCCAGAGGUUUGCCGUGGUGAGCAUCGAGCCCCCGGGCGCUUUCAUCAACCCCACCACUGCGGUGCAAGCCGUCGUCAUGGACCGCAUAGGGCACUUGCUGCCUGAGGUGGUGCCGUCGUCGGUGGGCGCCAUGUAUCUCCGGUUCGCGUCUGUGGCGGAUCGCGACGAGGCCUUGGCCAUGCAGCCCUUCCCCCAUGAAGGCGCGCGCAUCGACCUGAUCGCGGAAGAACUCUUCGAUCGUGUGGCGCCGCGCCUCGACGUGUGCGCCGUCCUCGCCGCCACAGGCUUCCCCGCCGAGUUCAUCAACCCGCGCGGCGUCUCCGCCAUGUUCUCUGGGUUUGGGAAGGUCCUUGAGAUCGAUCCACUCGUCCUGGCGGGCAGUGAGCUCGCCACCGUGCGUGCGGUCGUCCUCCUCAAAAAUCCUCGCGACGUCCCUUGUGACGUGUGGCCUCUGGGAGGACGCUGGGGCGCUCGUGUUGUCUCAGUCCGACCCGUCCGGGCCUGGGCGCGCGCUGACUCCUUCACGGCCAACGGAGAGUAUCUCCCGUUCUUCUACCCGCCACCACCGCCUUUCGCCCACAACCAUGUCGUCUUCCCGGGUCAGCCGCUGGGGAGAGGGAGCGUGCAGCCUCGUGCUCCCUUCCACUCUGGAGGCGGGGCGCGCGGAGGAGACGCUGGUCAACUCGACUCCGUGCUGCGCGUCCUCGGCGCGCCUCCCCUUCCAGCUUGGCUGCGGCACGGCCCUCUACGGCUGGGAGGCGUGCACCCGCCCCGCUCUCCUCUCCCGGCAGGGCUGCCCCCUUCGGGCUCGCCGUCCCGCUCCGUGUCCUCCUCGGUCGGGAGUGCCGGGUCCGGAAUAACAAUCGUCGACGUCACCGAGCAGCAGAUGGAGGGCCGUGACGGGCGCGCCGUUGGCGAUGCCCCUGGGCCUCGCCGUAGCGCUCGGGUGGCCGGCUCCGAGCCUGCGGAGUACGUCAGCAUGGAGGCGAAGGCGGUCAAGCUGCGUGCUCUCCGGGACGCGCUCUCCGGGUGCUCACCCCGCCUCAAAUCCAAAGUCCUGAAGGACAAGAUGCUCGAUGGUGUGCACAAGCCCAUGACGGCCAAGGCGGUGGCUGAGCUGCGCUGUGCCGCGUCCAUCCGGGCUGUUCCGGCGGCCGACGAUGCCGAUGUCUAGUCUUAUCUCCUCCUUUCUUUCGUCUACCGCUGCAUGCGCCUACCCUCGCUUAAGCUUCCCUCCCUGUUGCCCGCUCGGGGCUGUUUGUGGUUCCGCUCCUAGUUGGGCGACCGGCCGUCUGUACCUCGGUGUGUGUUUGUGUAAUGGAUAAUCUCUCCUUUGUUGAUCUCUCUAUUCUCUCUUGGAAUGUUCAAGGGCUGGGGGACCCGGAUAAGUGCGAUAUCGUGCGUAACCUUAUAGCUUCCACUGAUCCCGUCAUCGCUUGCGUUCAGGAGACCAAACUGGCCACCCUCCCCGCGUGCAAAGCCCGCUCGUUCCUCCCUGGGCGCCUUGCUUCGUUUGUCUCCAAGGAUGCCGAUGGGAGUCGGGGUGGCAUCACCACCGCUUGGGAUGCCCGCCUGUUCUCCUUAGUCUCCUCCUUCGCUUCGGCUUUCACGCUGUCCACGUCCUUCUCCUCCACUACCACCCCACUCUCUUUCACCGUUACGAACGUCUACGCGCCCUCGGAUCAUGCUCUCACUAUGGAAUUUGUUGAGGACCUCUCCGCGGUCUCCUCGGAUAUUCCCGGGCCUUGGAUUGCUAUUGGGGAUUUCAAUCUGAUUAGGGCUCCCCGUGAGAAGAAUAACAAUAACUUUGAUGCGUCGAGAGCCGCUGUCUUCAACUCUCUCAUCAACUCCCUGGCCUUGCAUGAGCUGGCCCUGACGGAUCGCCGUUUCACAUGGACGAACCGAAGGGAUCCGCCGACUCUUGCCCGCCUAGACAGGGCCUUCUUUGACAAUGAUUGGGGGGAGUCUUUCCCGGACUCGGCUCUUUCCUCACGCCCUCGGCCUACCUCUGAUCACGUCCCCCUGGUUGUCACUGCGUCCACCCGAAUUCCCAAACCGGCUCGCUUCUUCUUCGAGAACUCCUGGCUGCUCAACCCUCGCUUCCUCCCCACUACCAUCCCUUCUUGGACGGGCGCGGCGCCCGGGCGCUGCGCGGUGGGGCGGCUCGCUGCACGUAAGAAGAAGUUUCGGUCUGCGGCCAAGGUUUGGAAACGGCAACACAAAUACAUCCCUACCUAUGAUAAUGAUUGCAAAUUUGUGGUUGACCUCCUGGAUUUCUUGGAAGAGUCCAGAUGUCUGUCUACAGAUGAAGCGCUGCUGCGGAGUGAUGCUCGUAGCUGCCUUGCCGCGUCCAUCAAGAGGCAGAGUGCGCACUGGAAGCAGCGGGGGAAGUGUCGUGCGGUUCGAGAAGGCGAUGAGAAUACCAAGUUCUUCCACGCCAGUGCAUCCCAGCGCCGUCGCGGGAACUGGAUCCGCGCGCUUGAUGUUGAUGGGCUGGAGGUGGUCGAUCACCUUGGCAAGGCGGCUGCGCUGCGGGGCUUCUUUGCCAACCUCCUCGGGCGUUGCUGCCUCCCCGACUGGCGCUUCGACCUUGAGGCGCUGUACUAGGGUGUCCCAGGCGUCGACGGGGGCGCCCUUGUGAGCCCCUUCACCCUGGCCGAGAUCAAGAAGGCGGCGGGCCUCCUCGACCGCUCGAGCGCCCCCGGCCCGGAUGGCCUGGGGCCUGCCUUCUACCAAGCUGCGUGGGAGGCGGUGUCGGGCGAUAUGCUGCAGCUCUUCGACGCCUUCUUUGACGGCUCGGUGGACCUGGAGCCGAUCAACCGGGCGUACAUUGCCCUCUUGCCGAAAGGGGGUGGGGCGACCCCAACUCCAAGUUCGUUCCGCCCCGUCUCCCUGCAGAACUGCGAUGUCAAGAUCCUCUGCCGGGCGCUCACCACGCGGUUGCAGCAGCAGNNNNNNNNNNNNNNNNNNNNNNNNNNNNNNNNNNNNNNNNNNNNNNNNNNNNNNNNNNNNNNNNNNNNNNNNNNNNNNNNNNNNNNNNNNNNNNNNNNNNNNNNNNNNNNNNNNNNNNNNNNNNNNNNNNNNNNNNNNNNNNNNNNNNNNNNNNNNNNNNNNNNNNNNNNNNNNNNNNNNNNNNNNNNNNNNNNNNNNNNNNNNNNNNNNNNNNNNNNNNNNNNNNNNNNNNNNCAGUCCGGAUUCGUCUCCGGGCGAAGCAUUUCCGAGAACUUCGUCUAUGCGACCGAAGUGGUGCAAUGCUGCCGCGCGAGGAAAGCCCCCGCCCUCGUCCUCAAGCUGGACUUCGCUAAAGCCUUCGACUCUGUUAAUUGGGCGUGUCUUCGUCGCGUCAUGGAGGUGCGCGGCUUCCCUGAGCAAUGGUGCGCGUGGGUGGACGCCAUCCUCCGUUCAUCACGCUCCGCGGUGCUGCUCAACGGAGUGCCGAGGGCGUGGUUCCCCGUCAGGUGUGGGCUUCGCCAAGGAGACCCGAUGUCGCCCUACCUCUUCCUCUUGGUGGCGGAUGUCCUGCAACGGAUGGUGCGGCGCGACCCCCUGCUCCAACAUCCGCUGGUGGAGGGGGGGAGCACCGAUUGUGCUUCAAUACGCCGAUGACACACUUAUCAUCGCCCGCGCGUCGGGGGAGGCGGCGGCGCGGCUACGACGCAUCCUGGACGACUUCGCCGCGGCCACCGGGCUGGGGAUCAACUACGGCAAAAGCACCCUGGUGCCGAUCCACGUCGCGGACGAGGUGGUGGCUGGGGCUGCGGGGGCCCUCUCCUGCUCUGUACAGGGGUUCCCGCAACCCUACUUGGGCCUGCCGUUGUCGUGGGACAAGCUGACGGCGGCCGAUUUCGCGCCGAUGCUUGCUAAGGUCGAUGCCUACCUGGCCGGGUGGCGGGCGCGUCUACUCUCCCCCGCCGGGCGCCUGGUCCUGAUCAAUGCGGUGCUGGACUCGCUCCCCACAUAUGCCAUGGCCGCCGUCGUCCUUCCCCCGGCCGUGGUUAAAGCCAUGGAUACGCUGCGCCGGGCAUUCCUAUGGGCGGCGGCCGACCGCGCCACGGGAGCUCAGUGCCUGAUUGCUUGGAGCCAGGUCUGCAUGGCGAAGUGCGAGGGGGGGCUCGGGGUGCGGGACCUUACCACCCAGAACAUGUGCCUGCUGCUCAAGAUGUUGCAUCGUCUACACUCAUCGGAGUCGAGGUGGGCGUCGUGGGUUUGGGCGGAGCUGAAUGGCCAAUCCCUUCUCCAACCCGGUAGCUGUCGUCAUGCCGGGCCGCAUGGGCGCUCUCUGCGCGGCAUGCUGCCGCUCUACCGCGCCAUGUCGCGAGUGCGUGUGCAGGAUGGGCGGCGAACCUCCUUCUGGCUCGACUGGUGGCUGCCGUGCGGUCCUCUGAGUGUGGCCUUCCCCGCUCUAUACUCGCAUACCACAAGCGUCGAGGCCACUGUGUCCUACGUCUGGAACGGUGGGCUCGACCGCAUCUUGGUCCCAAGACACACCCGGGCGGGGGCUCGGGAGCGAGAAGCCCUCCUUGCCAUUCUCCCUGAUGCACUUGUGGCGUCGGGCGUAGAUGAGAGGAUGCUGCCGCUUUGUGGGCACCCCCGGUCGGGAGGCCUUGUCGCGCGCCGCGCCUACGCCCUCCUGCGCUAUGGCGGGCGGCUCUCGCCUCAUGCAGCGUUCGUCUGGGGGGCGCGCGCGCCGUCGCGGGUGAAGUUCUUCUGCUGGCUGCUGGUUCAUCGUCGAGUCAACACUCGGGAUGUCCUUCUUCGGAAGACCAUUGUUGAUCGCGCGGGGGCCGGCUGCCCCGUCUACUUGGCGGAGCUGGAAACCGCGGACCAUCUGAUGUUUGUCUGCCCGUUCGCGCGCGAGUUCUGGCGCGCCGUGGGGGUGUGGUGAUCGCGGCCGGGGCGUCGGUAGAGCGACUCUUCGCCCUAGACGUAAGAGUUGCCGUAGGAGAUGCCUCUCCCGACACCUUCAUCCUCCUAUGCUGCUGGCACCUAUGGAAGCACCGGAACGGGGUGGUCUUCCAGGCUAUGGUGCCAUCUCUGGAUCGGGUCCUAAGCUGCUGUCGAGAGGAUGCUGUUCUCUGGCGAGAAUGGCUACAUCCACGGAAUCGUGCGGAUGUUCAUGCGUGGGUGCGUGCGUUGACGCGGUGAUCUGAUCUUAGCUGAUGUUUGUAAAAAUGAGGACCUCCCCCUAGUGGUGAUUUGGCAAUAAAAUUCAGGUGGAGGGAUCGCUAUCCCUCCCCCGGUGACAGUUCAAAAAAAAAUAUUCUGGAAGAAGUGAUAUCAAAGAUGGCGAUCAAAGUUGUUCAAAAAUAUAGAUAAACCAGGAACUUAACCUCACCAUUCUCUCUUCAAUAAUUCUUUUAUAUUCAAGCUUUCCAACAGCAAUUUUCUGUUCAGGGAAGCGACAGUUCAUGAUCAUAUCAGUAAGCCUUUCGCUGACACCAGUACUUUUAUUAAUGGCCUUGGACUUGUCCUUAAAAGUUCGAAACUCUUCCAGCAAAACAGCCUGAUGAAAAAAUGAGCAUGUUCAGGUGCAAAAAGAAACGAUUAAUCAAGGAUCAUGUCAUGUCUCUCAAUCAGGAUAGGGGGCUGAUUCACUGGGCAUAUCUUAACUGUAACGAUAUACCCAUGUUACAAAUACUCGUUCAUCAAAUACUAGUGUGAUUCAGAUUAACUCAUAAAGCAAGGUCAUGAGAUGUAGUUUGGCAACAGACCACAGUGCUGCUCUUCAGUAGUAGCAGCACAUCAGUAACUGAUUUGUAAGAAGUCUUGUUACACCCAUGGCGGAUAUUUAGCCAAAGUAGUUUUUUGGGCGUGCAUGCAUUUGUGUCCAGGGCAAGGUUUCCAUUUUCAGUUUCAGCGAAAUUCAGUGAUUUGUUUGAAAUUCAAUUAAAUAUUUGAAACUUCUAAAUUAUUUUUGAAAAAUAGUUGAAUUCAUGUGUACUACUUGAAAUGGCUGAAAUAUUUUGGCCGAAAGGUAGAUAUUUCAGUGACUGCUAAAAUUAAUCAAAUCCAGUGAAAUUCAUCAAAAUCUCACUGAAAGUGAAAACCGCGGUCCAGUGUACAUGUUUUAGAUUUAUGGAGGAAAGUUGUGUUGGCCUCUCAAUUAUUUAGUAAUUAACCAUGUGUUUAUGUUCCUCCGUUAAUAGAAAAUAAAGUAAAUAAAUAAAUACUGAUGCAAUCAUGGAUGGUGCAAGAUAACUAGCAGGGUUAAUUUGGCAGCACAACAUAGGAAAAUAACAAUCAUAAGCAGGGAAUCGAAGGAAAGAAGUGGGCACUAACACGUUCUGCCUUCCAUCUAUCAGUGAAGUUAAGCCAUAUUUCCUGGAGGAGACAAAGAGAAAAGAGAAAAUUAGGUAAUUGACAUAGACAACAAGAGAAAAAAAAAACAAGAGAAAGCAAGCAAGCACAUCAUCAGUAACCAAGGAAGGAAGAACAUAUAUAUAGUACACCACUACACCUCCACAGCAUUUGGUCUGCUAAUAAGUAACGCACAAAAAGUGAAAAUUGCAAAGCCUGAGGGUGUCUCAAACAGAAUCAGCAUCAGUCCACUAUCCCCGCGGAUGGCAGCUGCAAAAAAAGAAACAAAGGAAAACUUAAGCAAGCAUGAUUACCAAGAAAAGAAGUGAAGAAUUCAAAUAUCAAACAUGAUGCCAGCCCUUGCCAAAGGUCUGUUGGCUGUGCUCUCUUCCACUCGGAUGCCACUACAGGUGCCUCCGGCUAGACCUUGACCACUAGAUAUUGUCGAGAUGUUCUAGCCAAAUGCACUCAAAGGUUCCAUCCCAAUUAUCUUAAAAAAAAAAGGUUCCAUUCCAACCGCUAGAAUGUUCCGGCCAUGGAAGGUAAUUGUUCCCACCAGUUGAAAUGAACUUUCCAUGGGCGCAUUGGGAGCAAGAGAUCCAGUGGGAACUGAGAGGUGUGCGCAGUGGCCAGGAUCAUGGAGCCGCUGCUGGGAAAAUGUGGUGCCAUUUUAGCGUGUGUCUGUUAUGAGGUUGGUACAGUUUUAUCUCCUGCAGGAUUUGGACAUGUUUUACUCUAACAAAUGAUUAAAAAUUCCUUGAUUUCUUGCAUAAAGAAUGAGAUUUAGUUAGGUUCCAAUGUCACAUUAAGAAUAUUUUCCCAAGAGCUAAAGAUUCAGAGAAACGACGCGAUGGUUAGGUACUUAGGUAAGUCUUAUGGAAACUAAGCUCGCCACUAUAAGGCUGGCUACUGGUCGUAAUGGUAGUAUCAUAGCUAGUAUUAUGCCUUGUACAAUGGGAGGUGCUUAGAGAGAUGCUUAGAAAAAUAAACCAGGUUUUUCUGAAGCCCCGGUGCCUAUUUCUACAGGAGCUUAAAAAAAAGCCUGGUUUAUUUCUCUAAGCACCUCCCUUUGUACAAGGCCUUAUGCAUGCCAACUAGGCAAUUUUGAUGAUGUGGCAUAUCAUUAAAUGAAGAAAGAGAUGGUGGAGUAUCAUAUCAUGAUACUGUAUCAUAAUAAAUGCUAUGCUACUUUGUGUCAUGCAUGGCAAUAAAUAGAGUACUACAUGAUACUAAUAUAUGAUACUAUGCAUUAGGAAGGUAGUACCAUACACUAGUAUCAUAUGUAUGAUACUAUUAUAUGAUACUCCUCAUUAGGCUGGUUGUAAUGGGGAGUAUCAUAUAGUAGUAUCAUACAUAUGAUACUAGUGUAUGAUACUACCUCCCUAAUGCAUAGUAUCAUAUAUUAGUAUCAUGUAGCACUCUAUUUAUUGUCAUGCAUGACACAAAGUAGCAUAGCAUUUAUUAUGAUACAGUAUCAUGAUAUGAUACUCCAUCAUCUUUUUCUUCAUUUAAUACUAUGACACAUCAUCAAAAUUACCUAGUUGACAUGCAUGAUACUAGAUAUGAUAUUACCAUUACGAUCAGCCUAACGAAAAUUUGACAUGGUUGUAGUACUAGUAGUACAGAGUUCUUAAAUAUAAGUCUUUUUAGAGAUUUCAAUAUGGACUACAUAUGAAUGUAUAUAGACAUAUUUUAAAGUAUAGAUUCAACCAUUUUGCUUCGUAUGUAGUCCAUAUUAGAAUCUCUAAAAAAACUUAUAUUUAGGAGCAGAGGGAGUAUAAAAGACUGGUACUGCAGCCUGCAAUUCUAUGAAUAUCUUAUUGCAAUUUUUGUUGCAUGGUUUGCCUCUUAUCAUUUCAAUUCAGCUGUUAACCAUUUUGGAUAAAUGCUUCAUGCGAUGUUUGACUUGAACAUAAGUUGGAUAGGCACGAGAAAGGUUUGCCCCAUUGUGUACAUGUCUCAAGCAAGGCACCGCCAGGCCAAUUAUGUGACAGUUGUACAAGUAAGUCGAGAAAGUUACUUUGUACAUAUGGUACUGCAUAUUUACUCCUGCUACUGCAGGGUAAUUGGCCAACUGCUAAUGCCAAGUUGCUGUGACUGAAGGUGUAUAUGACCUUUUGGACAUCUGCGUGAGAAGGAUAGAUAAACUGACAAAAUGUUUGGAGUGCUGAUGCUGAAGACCAACGUGAUACUACCAGAAAGGACCAGCGGUGCACCAGCAGCAAGUGAGAGAAAGCAAAUGAGAGCAUAAGAGCAUUUCCAUCAGACUCCUUACAAAUGGUCAAACCCGUAAAAAAAAUGACGUUUUCAGUUUUUGUUUUCAAAAAACAUCCCGGAUAGAGCCCGUAGAAAUGGUCAAACCCGUAAACUUUUUUCAGGCCCCUGAGAAUCCAUCCUCACGACCCCUUUAUUCACAGAUUUAGAGGCAAAACUAAGGAUGCCCUGAAAAUCAGUCAACAUAUGCUAAGCGACAAGGAAAUUUCACCGUGCACACGGGCUUCGAUGACCUUCCGCCACGAAACUCGUCGGAAUCUCGCCAGAAACUCGGCACUUAGAGCAGCUGCGCCGCCGGCCUGUGGAGGAGCUCGCAGGAGCGGCGGCGGCGGCUCCAUGACACCGAGAGGUUUCAUCCGCGCUGGUUCCUCAUCUGAUGCUGGCUGUCCCACAUCUGCCGCGGAGGCUUGGAUUUAUUAAGCAGUGACCGGAGCUAGCUAGGAUCGAUUCAGUUGAUCCAUUCAAGCAGCAACGGCGACGGGAGCUAGCUAGCUCCUGGAUCGAUUCAAUCGAUCCGUCGAAGCAGCUACGGCGACGGACACAGCGGCCGCUUUGUGCGAGAUGUCUUGACGCCGGCGGCUCCGUAUUUGGCCGCUUCGUGCGUUGUCCGCCAGCUCCGUAGGAGCGAGCUUAUUGAGCAUGGACACGGGCAAGAGGAAGAAGACAUGGGAAAAAAUAUAAGGGAAUAUUCAGUUUUACAGUUUAACUUCGAGGUUUCUACUUGGCCGCAGCUCAAACCGAUUCUUAAAACGUGUUUUCCGUAAACUGAAAACCAAAUUCUGCGGUUUAAGGGGUCUGCUAGAGAUGCCACCUCCAAUAUUAACCCGUAAAUUACUCCCGCAUCUGUUCGCGGACAUCCAACCCUAUGCCUCAAAUAUCCGCUUUCUACUAACUUAAAAAAUUGUUUACGCUUUUUAUUAACUUAAAAAAAUUGUUUAUUCAUCGGCUUCCGUUGAAACACAGUGUCAAAACACACACAUGCCAGCCUUCCACCAAAUGCAUACAAGUAGAUGUUAAUCACCUAGUCAAUUACACCUUCCGCCAAAUGAGUUACACACCUUCCGCCAAAUGCAUACAAAUCACUAAUGCUAAACGUAGUCCAAGUAUACCUUCCGCCAAAUGCAUACAAAUCACUAAUGCUAAUCGUAGUCCAAUUACACCUUCCGCCAACGAGUGCUAGACUUGCAUCACACCUUCCGCCAAUUGAAAAUCGCCUUCCACCCUUUAACCUUGCGUCAAACUAAUCACCUUCCGCCAAACAGCUGCGGCUUUACACCAUCCGGACAGAGAGACGGGCACGUGGUGCUUUUUGGUUGACCAGACGGAUGUCCAGACUCCCGCAAAGUUUAUCAUGUUUGUCUUCAGUUUGUCGAAAAAACGUGGUUCAGAUUGCUCGUCGGACCGAUACAGAACCACGUUGUAUGGCAAAUUAUGUCCAGACAACACGGUCUAGACGCUUGCGGGAUGUUUAAGGGUCCACCUUAAAGAUGCCCUAAAGGGGAUAAUAGCAGAGUGAGAGGCGGUGGGCGACGAAUAACAACUGCAUGGGAGAUGUGCUGCCCACAAACCCGUGCUCUGGGGGUGUGUUCAGAUUCUUUUGGCUUUAAUUGGAGCAUCUUCAACGGAUGAUGUAAAAGCACCGCGAUGAUAAAAUUUGGCCAUUCGGGGUACUUCGGUCAAAAACGACAUUCCAACACGUGAUGUAUAUGUAUCCAGUGAUGUAAUUUUUUUAGGACAGAUGAAACAAACGCCUCUCGCUGCUCCAUAUUUGCAGCAUUGCAAUGGCUGCCACAAAAUCCUCAUGCCCACGCACGCAAUUGCCCGCAGAAACUACCCCGUCUGCAGCCCGCAUCGUUGCCCACCACUGCCAUCGUCAAUUCCAUGUUGUAAUCACCACCCGACCAGCCGUCACUAGCCAUCUCGCCACCGGUUUCCACUCUGCUAGCCGACAAUUUCCACCUACCCACUGCAUCCACCCCGCCCACAAAUACAGCCUCCCCAUUCCCCGUCAUCGUCCGAUCAAUGACUCACCUCCUUGAUUUGUCGACUCUGGCGGCUGCUGCUUGGGUUGCCUCUAAGGUUUGUUCGUCGCGGUUGGGCUCAACACACCGCCGCUCAGCUUGGCAGCUCGGGGCCGACGACACUGUCAGUGGCAGAGCUAGCCAAGUAUGGCUGGGAGGCAGAUGACCACACUUAGCUUUAACUUAGCACCUAAUAAAAAUUCUUACAGAGAUUUUUCUAAUCUUNNNNNNNNNNNNNNNNNNNNNNNNNNNNNNNNNNNNNNNNNNNNNNNNNNNNNNNNNNNNNNNNNNNNNNNNNNNNNNNNNNNNNNNNNNNNNNNNNNNNNNNNNNNNNNNNNNNNNNNNNNNNNNNNNNNNNNNNNNNNNNNNNNNNNNNNNNNNNNNNNNNNNNNNNNNNNNNNNNNNNNNNNNNNNNNNNNNNNNNNNNNNNNNNNNNNNNNNNNNNNNNNNNNNNNNNNNNNNNNNNNNNNNNNNNNNNNNNNNNNNNNNNNNNNNNNNNNNNNNNNNNNNNNNNNNNNNNNNNNNNNNNNNNNNNNNNNNNNNNNGUUGUUGGACACUGUCGAGGAGAUAGCAUUGCCCAAGCCACCGCUACAUCACCGCUCUGCCGCGAGCGCCACCUCGUACCGUGGUGUUAGGCUAAGUGAGUCAGACGUUGCAAAAACCACUUGCAAGUGGCGGCUUAGGUGGCUCGGCGUCUUCAAGAUGCCCAAGCUUGCCGCACACGUGUACAACAAAGUUGCAUGGAGGCUCGGCGGUAGCCGGGCCGAGCUGAACUUCUCCGACAUGGUCUUAGCCUAGGAGGCACAAUUCCGCUCCCAUGAGAUUUGCAUUGUCUCCCACGAUGAGGAGAAAGCACACCGCCGUGUCGAGGCCUAACAAAGUGCCUAGGAGAAGGGUAGGGUUUACAUGGAGAGGUUUGCCUCGACAAAUCCACACCUCGUCGAGGCGGAGCUUCAAUUCUUCGCCGAGAAGGAGAAGGCUAAGCCAAAGGAGGAGGAAGAGAUGGAUCACAAACCCUCAUGUUUAAUUAUGUUGUUUCAAAUGCUUAAUGGACGUAGAACUAGAGUUUGAAAUUCCAAAAUGUGAAAUGAAUUUUCAAAUGAUGAUUUUUAGGGCACCACUUUACAUCUCACCUAUUAAAGCAACAGCCGUCUCGGUGGCGUAAAAUUUUCUCCCUCCUGCCCUAUAUGGGUUUUUACAUCACCAAUUUUUCAUCACCUGUUGGAGAUGCUCUUAAGCAAGUGGGUCCUCAUCCGAUUAGCAAGCACAUGCACCGUGGCGCUCCGGUGCAUCAAAGUUAGUUGGUGGUAAACCAAAGAGGGCUAUACUUUUUGCCAAAUAUUUGGACUUGGAAUGGCUACGAUCCAAACAAUAAUGGCUUACUGAAAUUUCGAUCAUACCCAUGCAUCGGUGAUGCCAACAUUUUGAUGUCUAGUUGUGGCUCAAAUUAAACAUACCCUAAGACUCCAUCUCCAACCGCCAACCCACGAAACCUACCCGGUGCCCGGAUCUGUUGGUUCGGACCCCAAAACGCGCGCCCCAUGGCAGGUAUAUGCUGCUAAAGAUUUAGGGUUUCUUUGCAUGCAGUCCAAUUAGCGACUAAAGUUUUCCCUCCCGAGUAGGUGAGACUGAGAGGCAAGGCAGGAUGACGGCGGGCGAGUGGCUCACCUGGACAGGGUGGGAAUCUCGACGGAGGAGAGCGCCCGCGUGGCCGCUUCACCGCCGGAGUAGAGGAUGUCGAGGAGGAGCGCCUCUGCUUCGCCACCGGAGGAGGACAGGAGGAUGUCGAGGAGGAGCGAGACCGAGUACACAUCGCCGGAGGAGAGGAUAUCGACGAGGAGCGAGUCCGCAUCGCCGGUUGAGGUUUGCGCUGGCGGCCGUGUGUGAAUUUUAUGGAGUCGGUUAGGUUUAGUAGAGAAUGGAUCAGUGCUUCGCGAACCUUUUUAUUUUUUGAGAACCUACAUGCACGCAGCCUUUUUUUAAGAUGACCUUAACUGGCAGAAAUUCUGGCAUUUUGUUAAAUGGCUCUUUGAAUUGCAGGAAUAUGGAAACGUAGGCAUAGUAAAAAAACAUAGAAUGAAGAUGGCAAUGGGUACCCGGAACCUGCGAACUGGACUUGUAAAAACUCUAUUAUUAGGGUAAGUAUAAGAAAUACAAACUCCCAUGACAUGUAAAUGAAAAAGCAAUUAUACCCACGGGGGUAUAGUUGGUUAGAGUACGUGAUACAAUAUUCGUACCCGCAUACUCAUAUAGUACUUGGCUGCAUGCAUUAGUAUGACAUGUAGGAUCAUGCUGUCAUCGAGUAAUUAACUACUCCCUCGGCCCAAAAUAAGAUACUUAUUAUGGAACAAAGGGAGUAUAAAAGAAACCUAGAGGCAAUUUAAUCGGUCACUUCUAUCCUAUGAUACCCUUGUCGCCAGCCCAACUCCUAUCCUCCCACUUGUCUUUCCCUCCUUGAUCAUCCCCGCCCUCCUGAUCCCGGCGCCAGUGUGUCCAUCCGACUAUGUCGACUGUCACCUACAGCCCUGCACCAUGGGUUGCCAUCGCCUGCCACUCUCCACUAGGAUCACGCCCGCCACCAUUCCCAUAGUCCCGCCUUAGUGCCUGCACGGCUGCAACUCCUUCACCACCACAAGACAGCCACAUCGCCUUGUCCCAGCCACCUUCCAUGCUCUAGUCGAUAAGGACAAUAUACUGUUAUAGUUGGUGAUGUAGGUGUCGCUGUUGUAUUCACCAUCCACAACUAACAAGGUCCUCCCUAUCGGAAAUGUGAAUUGGGUGAAGCCAUGAUCAUUUUUGAAAAUCAAGAACAUUUUGGAAAUUCAAGAACAUUUUUUGCAACUCAGGCAACCACCUAUAAAAUGUAGAAACAUUUUUCAAAUCCAUUUUUUUUGAAAUUCAGAAACAUUUUGAAAGAGCAUGAAUGUUUUUUGAAAAUCGUGAACAGUUUUAUUUUUUAAAUAUUUUUUAAAACUAAUUAAUGCUUUUUAAAAUUUGCAAAUAUUUUUAUAUUUUGAACUAUUUUCUAAAUUUUCGACUAAUAUUAAAUUAUUACUUUUUCUAAAAUUUCUGCAGUACUAGUGUUUUUUAUGGUUUUGGUGAAAAUACCCAGCCCCAAGUUUUUUUUGAUGGGAAAUACCCAGCCCCAAGUAAAUGACCGAAUGGGCCGACACAAUACGUGCCUGAGGCUUGAUAGAGGAAAUACCCAGCCCCAAGUAAGAUGUUCUUAAAAUUGUAAAGAAGAAUAAAAAAAUUAAGAAAGGAAAGAAAAUGAAAAAAAGGUGGANNNNNNNNNNNNNNNNNNNNNNNNNNNNNNNNNNNNNNNNNNNNNNNNNNNNNNNNNNNNNNNNNNNNNNNNNNNNNNNNNNNNNNNNNNNNNNNNNNNNNNNNNNNNNNNNNNNNNNNNNNNNNNNNNNNNNNNNNNNNNNNNNNNNNNNNNNNNNNNNNNNNNNNNNNNNNNNNNNNNNNNNNNNNNNNNNNNNNNNNNNNNNNNNNNNNNNNNNNNNNNNNNNNNNNNNNNNNNNNNNNNNNNNNNNNNNNNNNNNNNNNNNNNNNNNNNNNNNNNNNNNNCGUUGAUACAUCAAGUAGCGCACGACUUUUAACUGGUCCGGUCCGUUAGCUAAGUUCUAUGUCUUCCAGUUUCCUGGUUUUGGGAACAUUUCAGAAGGAUUUGUCAGGUUCAGGUAUUGUGUUCUUUCAGUUUUACUGAUGUUUCUUUUUCUGGGGUUUUUCGUGUUUUUUCAUUGUAAAUUUCAAUUUUUUUUCAAGUUUAUUUUGUUUUAAAAAAUUCAGAAAUUCCAAAUAAUAUUAUUUCCAAUAUUCAGUUUUAUCAAAAAACACGUUUUCAAAUAAUGUUGGUGUUUUAAAAAAAAUUUGGAAUUUUUAAAAAUGUUCCUGUUUUAGAAAUUGUAUUUUCGAAAAAUGUUCGAAACUUUUAAAUAAAUUGGUUUUUAAGAAAUACCACAUUAUCAGAAAAUAUUCGCGUAAAAUCUUCGUGUCUUCAAAUUUUGCUUUUAAAACUAAUCGAAGGACUGCAUUCUGCUUGGAAAAUUGGGUCGCUGCUGUAUUGUUACGGGAAAACCGAGUCGCUACAAGCGAGCGCCCUAUGAGCAUUCUGUCGCAUUGCACAUCUCACAUUGCACAUAGGAGAUCUGUCAUCUACCCAGUGCUACCAUGCCGGGAUAACAAUCUUUGCAGAAAUGUAUGCGACGCUUGAAAGUUGUCGCUUGGAGCCGGAUCGACGAUGCCCAGAAGUUCAUAAACCGCAUGACUGUGGAAGGUGGAAGACGCCCUAGCAGCCCCCGCAUGUGAGAUCACUUCCUAAAGUAGGAAGAGUACGUAGUUGAGGGGGAAGAAAUCUAUGUUUUCGAAGCUUCAAAUUGUUUUAGACAAUUUUUUUAUUAUUAUGUAAAAAUUGUACUAGAUAUUGUAAUGGAACUUGUACUAGAAAUCGAUGUUACAGAUCAAAUUCAAGGCUUAAUUAUUGUUUGAUGAGAUGAAGAAAAAAUAAAUCUUGUUAAGCCAAUGAGAAACAAGUCCACAUGGAGGAAAAUUUUGAUUAUGACGAUUUUGCACCCUCUAGGAACUUUCAAAAUAUUAACCUUUUCAUCAAAGAAGUGGCCGUUAGAUGACUAUGGAUUCAUUCUUGUGUCUACUACGUACUUUUAGGGCAACACCAACCAUGACGGGUGUCACCAAAACAUACGUCUUUAAAUGUCCGCGGACAUGUCUUCAAACAUCAAAAUAGGAGGCAGCUAUCCAACAAUAUUCACCAAGUAUACACCAUUUAAAUGGAGAGAAGGGAAUGAGAGGAAAAAAUGGGGUUAUGGUGGGAUUUGAUGCUGAGUAGGUAUGCUUGAACUCCCCUAGUUUGAGGAAGAUUUNNNNNNNNNNNNNNNNNNNNNNNNNNNNNNNNNNNNNNNNNNNNNNNNNNNNNNNNNNNNNNNNNNNNNNNNNNNNNNNNNNNNNNNNNNNNNNNNNNNNNNNNNNNNNNNNNNNNNNNNNNNNNNNNNNNNNNNNNUCAUGUUGGAGUUUUUUUUUAAAUUAGAAACUUUAUUGAUUAGGAAUAUAAGAAUAUGUACAAUUUCGUCCAUACGCUCCUCAAACCAAACCUUAGUCGCUGGAAAUUUAACCUACCAAGUUCAUGACCUAUCUUAUUCGUUUUCCCGUUACAAUGUUCAAACCAGUAAGAAGAAAAUCACAGGCGAAUAAAUAGCAAUCACAAAAAAAAAAAUGCCGCCGUCGCUCCGGUCGAACGUCCUUUAUUCUUCAUGGUAUUAUGUCUUCCAUAUUUUUAGAAUUAAUAACAGGGCGAUUGCAUCCUGCCUUUUGUGCAAGAAAUAAGCCGAGUCUCAUAGCCAAAGUUUCUAUCAUUAGGACGUCAACACACCAAUCAAUCUUUCAAUUUCUGCCAACAAUGAAUUUUUCUUUAUCAUCUCUGAAUACAACGUUAGCUGUGUCCCUAAGCACAUGAUCAAAAGAUGCAUUAACAUCGAGCUUUACAAAACUCAUAGGAGGUCUAAUCCAUCCUUCUCUUUUACUAGUUGCAUUGCGGGAGCAAGCAUUAACAACAUUUGCCGUUAUAGCAUGAAUCCCCAUAAAAAUGCGGAACGCAUCUUGAAACUUUUUUGUAUGAAUCAAUCUACGUCUAUCCCACCAUAAGUCCCAAGCGGUAAUAGCAAUCGAUUCACGAGCUUCCUGAGGCCCAAUAUAGAUAGACCCCGGUUUGGCGUAAGAAGUAAGAAUUCAAGGAUCGCCUCUCCCGCACGGUCAAUAACACAAGCUUUGUUAAUCCCUCGGUCCAUUCCCAACUUAUUGCAACCCCCCUUUGCUUUCCGAGAAAGAAACACCAUGUGUUUUGUAUCUUCUGGCCCAUUAAAACACGAGGGGCAAAUGGGCGAAAUUUCUAGAUGUCUAUUGGUAAGCGUAACACGCGACACGCAGAGUGCCAGUAUGCCAAACGGGUGACAUGACACGGAUUCACGCUGGAGUUGGCGUUGCUCGUAACAGAAAACACAAAACACAGAACAUGGGUAGCUGCAAACUACUCCCUCUGUAAACUAAUAUAAGAGCGUUUAGAUUACUAAAGUAGUGAUCUAAACGCUCUUAUAUUAGUUUACGGAGGGAGUAACUAACACGCCCCUUCAAAAAAAAAAAAAACUAACUAACACGCGUGGCCCACGUCUCAGAGAUGUACUUCCAGCUGGNNNNNNNNNNNNNNNNNNNNNNNNNNNNNNNNNNNNNNNNNNNNNNNNNNNNNNNNNNNNNNNNNNNNNNNNNNNNNNNNNNNNNNNNNNNNNNNNNNNNNNNNNNNNNNNNNNNNNNNNNNNNNNNNNNNNNNNNNNNNNNNNNNNNNNNNNNNNNNNNNNNNNNNNNNNNNNNNNNNNNNNNNNNNNNNNNNNNNNNNNNNNNNNNNNNNNNNNNNNNNNNNNNNNNNNNNNNNNNNNNNNNNNNNNNNNNNNNNUCCAGCUGGCCUCCUCCUCAAUCAUCCAUCCAUCCUCUCCCAAAUCCAGCGGAGCUUUGCUUCCUCUUCCUCUUCCUCUUCUCCCCUCAACCCAAACUCAAAUCCAAAUCCCCGAACCCACCGGCGAUGGCGCGCGGCGGCCGCUCCGAGAAGAGCGGCGGCGGGUGCGGGCGGUGCUGCCUGGGGUUCCUGCUCAAGCUCCUCGCCUUCCUGCAGGCCUUCGCCGCCCUCUCCGCCGUCCUCUACGCCGCCUCCAUCCUCUCCCGGUGGGCGCGCCACCAUGAGCUCCACAUCCACCACCUCCUCCCAGACCUAUGGUAUGUACUUCUAUCUCCUCUAUCUCCCUCCCGCCCUCCACUUCCCUUCCCGCCGGUAUGUAAUCCUGAUCCAACUUUUUGGCCCGCAGGUUCGCGUGCGCCGUCAUGGCCGCCGGCCUCCUCUACUGCGCCAUCCUCCUCGCGGGCUACGUCGCCGCCGAGGUCAGCAGCGGGUGCUGCCUCUGCUUCGUAAGAUCCACCACAACUCAUACUCAUCCAUCCAUUCAUUCCCCCUCGUGCUUGCUUGUGAAUAAGCAUAUUCAUAUUCAUUCCUAGUGAUUGGUGUAUCCGUACUAAUUAAUCAUUUGUUUCUGAUGAUAACAACUGAUUAUUCCAGUACACCGGCUUGGCAAUGGUGAUGAUGCUGCUCGAGGCCGCCGUGGCCGGACGCAUCCUCCUCAACGAGCACUGGAUCCAGGUGGGUUCAUUGGAUGCACAUUCAUUCCCCUGACAGCAAUAAGUUCAGUUCAGUUGAUAAAACCAGAGCACUGAUCGAUUCCUCUUCUUCUUGCAGGAUCUGCCGCAUGACCGCACCGGAGAGCUUGAGAACCUCGUCUCCUUUGUCAAUGCCAACCUCGACCUCUGCAAAUGGGCUGCUCUCGCUACCGUUGCCACUCAGGUGCGUCAGAUUGAUAUGAACAAGCAUUUUCAUCAGUUCAAACGGCACGCCAAGUAUACACAUGCCUUUAAGUUGCAUGCUCCAAUAAGGCUCUUCCACAGUAAUUUCCACUAGUAAUAACUAAUAAGAUAAACAAACCUACUCUGUUUUCCUUUCCACCUCGAGGAGGAUGAUCUGAUCUGUUUACAUGUACAGGCACUCUCGCUUUUCUUGGCGAUGGUUCUACGAGCCAUGGUUUCACCCACGAGUGGUGACUAUGACAGUGAUGAAGAUUUUGUGGUCAUAAGGAGGCCGCUGCUUAUUGCCCGAGGAGCUCCAUCCUAUCUCCCUACCACCGCCGACCCCAGGGGUGGUCAUCCGAACUUAUGGAGCUCAUCAAUGAGGCAGAAGGUGAGAAUUGCUUAUCCUCCAACGCUUGCUUGCACUGAUUUCAGAUGGGACUAUGCAACCUAAGCAAGAGUGCACUAUCGUUAACGACAAUAUGUUUGCUAUACUGUGCAACACUGUUCAUCCUAGCAAACUGAAGAAUGUUUUGAAUCGUUAAUCAAGCACAUAUUUUGCUACAUUGAAAAAAGCACAUAUUUUUUCCUUUUAGUUUCAAUUUGACAAGAUUAUUUUGCUGGAAACUUUUAUAUUUGCUCUUACUUUCAUGAGUCAUGGCCCUCAGCUGCUUGAUACCAUAAUUAUCUUGUACUCUACUACUAUAUGUGUAGUCCAGCGGAGGAUUUAGAACACAACCUGAUUGUAGCACACACCGUAGUUGAAGCAUUUCUAGAUGAGUACUAGUUCGUUUUGUUUACUCCUACAAGGCUAUAACCAAGCAAGCAAUCUGAAGAAAAAGGUGUUAAAGUUGUAUUGUUGUAUGCUGAUUAGUGAUUACACAUUAUCUGGGUUGGAUCAUAUGUUAGCUUUAGGGUCAAGUUAGUACUAUCCUUUAUACUUUUUCAAUACAUCAAAGACGCAAGCCUUUUGUGUCGUUGAGUUGUAAAGACUAAAGACAGACUAGUUGGCUGGAAACCGUUCGCAUACAUUUCUUUAGCAGAGAUGCAACAAUAAUGUGGAGCACGUUGAUUGCAAAAGUUACACGCCCCAAUAGUGAGUCCUGUAUUUCUACUUGAGAUUAUGUCUGCACAUCACUCUUCUCCCUAGCAAACUGAAAGAAUAUUUUGAACCAUUAAGGAAGCACAUAUUUUUCUAUUUGGCUUCAAUUCGUCAGGCUUAUUUUGCUGGAGACUUUUAUGUCUCAACAUUUGCUGUUACUCAUGAGUCAUGAUGCUCAUCUGCUUGAUAGCCUCUGUCAUAAGUUUUUUUUCUUCUUUUUUUCUACCGUAAUUGUUUUGUACUCUACUGCAUGAGUCUGACAAUCUAACCUUAUGCGAAAUCUUAUUAUCUUGCUUAUUAUUAUUAUUUUAUAGUAUGACUCGUUUCAUAUAUCAUGAAAGGCUAUGACGAUGUAACCUCAAGCCAAAUAGCAAAAAAAUCAUGGCGACUUUAUUAUAUGAACGAAUCGCGCCCUUCGUUCAACACUGAAAAUCUAUUCCCAUCCCACCAGCCCUGUGUUUCUUCUUGAUUACUACAUCAACUGAAAAGAGCAAUGUGAACUAAUAAUUUUUUUUCCUCCUUUGUGCCCUCUAGUAUGGACUGAACUCCUCGGGGGACUACACCUACAACACACUGGGUCAAAAUGCAGUGCCACCGCAGUGAGAAGCUUAUGUGCGACAGGUGAUGAAGGAAGAGCAUGCAUGGCUUUGUUGGAAGCACCUGUGCAGCAUAUUUGUAGUAUCUGGUUAUAUUCCAUGGUGUAAUGCGCACUAUAUAAUUUGUGCAUCCAGCCAAUCUCGAACUCAUUGUACAUAGUUCCAUCAUUAGUGAAGAUCAUGUAUGUGUGACCCUGGCUGGCUAGUUGGAAAGGACUUGUUGUCAACAUUUCGUUGGAUGUUUGUUAAGCUAGCUGGUGAUAGCAGUUUAUGAUGUGAAAAAAGAUCUUGUAAAGUAAUGUUACUAGCACAGUUUCACUUGUGUGGUGAGAUAGUAUUGAUAUGCCGCCAAGUAUUACAUGCUAUGUAUCUGUUCUUAAACCUCCUCUCUUGGGUGCAGCGGCACUUUGCAUAAAAAAUGAUCUUUCAGAAGUACUCCCUCCGUCUCAUAAUGUAAGACGUUUUUCGACGUUGAAAAAUGUCUUACAUUAUGAGACGGAGGGAGUACUAUGCUAAAUAACUUUGAGGUAAGGUUUUUUUGUUUUUGAAAUGGAGGCAAAAGAUUUGCCUCAUAUAUCAAUUAAGAAGAGGAUAUAAUUUUUGAUACAAGCCCCAAACUGCAUAGCACUCAUGCAUUGUCAUGCUGUAGCUCGCCAUUGUUCAAAUGUUCAUAUGAUGGAGCAACCCUGUAUUUUGUUUUUUGUUUUGAAAGGUCGUCCCUGCGUGCGCGCCCACGCUGCAGACCUCACCUACGUACGCCACGCACCCUCCCGCGCAGGGUCUCCUGUCGGUCGACGCUGUGGUUCCAACGCUUCCCCUCCAUGCUCCCACGUGCUCCUGCUCACUGAUUGAAUAGCAGCUCCUACCAGCUACCUAAAAGCCCCGCUCCAAACGGCCAAGCUAAGGAAGAUGAUGCCCACCCCACAUGCAUUUGCCCGCCCCGAUCUUGUGCUACAAACCUCUCUGUUUGUUUCGUCGUUUAGAUGCGUGCGCGUGCGUUCUAGGGCUAGUUCACUGAUCAGAGACAACGCGCACGUAUUCUGAAUUACAAGUUCAUGGCUGGAUUCAGAGGAAUAGCACUUUUUUUUUUCUCUUGUGUGCAUGCAGAUUGCAGAAACACACAAGAAAAAAGCCCUCUUCUUGUGCUCCUUUCCUUUGUACUCCCUCUGUAAACUAAUAUAAGAGCAUUUAGAUAACUACUUUAGUGAUCUAAACGCUCUUAUAUUAGUUUACAAAGGGAUUACUCUCUAAAUCGUUUAAUCAAGAUGAGUAGAUUCAGGACUCACGCACAAGACUAUUUGGAAGAAGAAAUUCAGGCACCAAAUCAAGGUGAGUGGAUUCAGGCCCGCACUCGGAGAAUAAUCAACGGCACGCACAUCGAUCAACACGGGUAUAAUUAACAACAAGAUAGACUUGCAACAAGAGAAUGACUUUAGCUUUACAGUCCGAUGGAAUUCAGCAGAAAUUGAGAUUAUUCUUCCACCCAACCCAACACGCAUCAGUCAGAAAAAUCCAGACACCAACCAAACGCCUACCACCACAGUAGCAGCCACUUGCCUGCCUUGAGCGCCGCCGAUCGAGGUCGAGGCUCCCACCACCGCACCACCACCAUGAUGCCACGUCAGUAGCACGGGACGACGACGCAGCGCCUGCGCCGGGGCUGCGGCGAGCAGACGACGAACAGCAGCAUGAUGACGAAGGCGGCCAUCACCAGCGGCAGCAGGUUGAACCCCGCCUCCUCCUCCUCCUGGCUGCAGCACAUCUUCCCCAUGGCCGAUCGCCCGCUCGCUUUUCUCACAGACAGAGCAGUUUCUUGGCUUGGAGGAACAAGGAGACUGGGCGAGGAACAAGGGAAGAAGUCCUUCUUUCGUGGUGCAGUGGGAUUUCUGCUGUAUCUAUCUGUCUUAAAGACCACUCCCCUCUCUCUUCCUCCCC